rnacentral:lncRNA from 1 species
CCGGUUUCGCGCACUGCGCGGCUGGGGUAGCGCCCCGCCCCGGCCCGGAAACCGCCGGGAAGGGGACCCCGGAGCCCACCGCUCUGGGUUCCCAGUCCGUGCAGCAGUGGCCACGUACCUCGUCCCUUCCGCACCCCUGCUGGAUCUGGAAGGAAGCAGGAUAAGUUAAUGAGAUGUCCACCAGAGGGCCUGGCAUGGACACAGCACAUGGCCACAGAGGCUGGUGGGCACUAUGGAAUCUUGUCCCCUGGGGAGGCACACAGCCAGGGCAGAACAUCAAGGUCAAGCCUCUCCUGAGGGCUCUGCAGUGCUUAGUGACACCGCUAUCAAUGACCGUCAGGUAUCAGGAAACCAUUUGGCACCUCCUCUGGAACGAAGGCAUGGCGGGGCACUUGAGAUCUGGCUGUUGAGGCAGAGGUAGUGCACGUGACCCACGCAGUGAGGUCUGCUCCCCGCUGCUGCAGCCAUCUGCGAUGGAGACCGUGAGUGUACACAGGCAGUGCCAUCUGAAGGGAACUCCGCUGCCUCUAUGUGCUACUGAGGCAGGGGCGACUGAGCCGGAGACUGGAGAAAUGUGUCCGUCUUCACGGACAGCCUGGCUUAGCUGUCCGUGGCUGCCUCCUGCCGUGGAGGAGCACACUGGAGUGGCCCGUGCAGUGGACCAGAGCUUCCACCCACACUGUGUUCUGUCUCCUUUCCUAGAACACAACUGGACGACGUUUCCCACCUCCGUGCAAAAUGAGAGUGGACAUCAGGGGUGCCACUUCCACACCUAGCUCAUGGAAGCUCCCAGAUGGUCUCGGCCCUCCAUGCUCCCCGCUACUUCAGGCUGGAUGGAGACGGACGGCUCAGGGUGCUCUGUCUCUGAUGCCUGCAUGAGCGCUGCCCUGCCAGCCCAUUCCCCUGCCCAAUAUUAUGGAAGCAAAAACGUUCUAUGGUGUUUGAGCCAUUGUUGCUCGGGUCUAUUUAUUACAGAACUAGCAUAGCCCUAAUACAGUCAUUGCUACGUGGCCAUAAUACAUGUAUUCUAUAAUUGCACAUAAUUUUAUU